GUAGGUGGCAAGCGUUGUCCGGAAUUAUUGGGCGUAAAGCGCGCGCAGGCGGUUCUUUAAGUCUGAUGUGAAAGCCCACGGCUCAACCGUGGAGGGCCAUUGGAAACUGGAGAACUUGAGUACAGAAGAGGAAAGCGGAAUUCCACGUGUAGCGGUGAAAUGCGUAGAGAUGUGGAGGAACACCAGUGGCGAAGGCGGCUUUCUGGUCUGUAACUGACGCUGAGGCGCGAAAGCGUGGGGAGCAAACAGGAUUAGAUACCCUGGUAGUCCACGCCGUAAACGAUGAGUGCUAAGUGUUAGGGGGUUUCCGCCCCCCUUAGUGCUGCAGCUAACGCAUUAAGCACUCCGCCUGGGAGUACGGCCGCAAGGCUG
rnacentral:rRNA from 1 species